GCCCUGUGUCACUACAAGGGCCUGUAUUACCGACAGGGCGAGUCCUGGUAUGACGGAUGUGGACUCCAGUGCCGCUGUGAGGACGCCCUGAACCACUACUACCAGUGCACGGACAGGUGCCCCAAGUACACCAACGUGCCUUCCACGUGCACAUUCGUCGCCGACCCCAAGGACCCACAGUGUUGCCGGGUACCACAGUGUCAGAACGCCGGCGGAAAUGUAGGAACAACGGGAUUUGUUGGCGCCUUCACCGGAUAUGGCCACCCAACCAGCAUCAUAUCUGGGCAGAUCAGCCAUACCAGUUACAACAGCAAAUGUCUGUACAAGGGUCAGGUGUACGCCCAGGGCGCCACGUGGCAGGACGGCUGCG